AUUGAACGCUGGCGGCAGGCCUAACACAUGCAAGUCGAGCGGAUGACGGGAGCUUGCUCCUGGAUUCAGCGGCGGACGGGUGAGUAAUGCCUAGGAAUCUGCCUGGUAGUGGGGGACAACGUUUCGAAAGGAACGCUAAUACCGCAUACGUCCUACGGGGGAAAGCAGGGGACCUUCGGGCCUUGCGCUAUCAGAUGAGCCUAGGUCGGAUUAGCUUGUUGGUGAGGUAAUGGCUCACCAAGGCGACGAUCCGUAACUGGUCUGAGAGGAUGAUCAGUCACACUGGAACUGAGACACGGUCCAGACUCCUACGGGAGGCAGCAGUGGGGAAUAUUGGACAAUGGGCGAAAGCCUGAUCCAGCCAUGCCGCGUGUGUGAAGAAGGUCUUCGGAUUGUAAAGCACUUUAAGUUGGGAGGAAGGGUAGUAAGCGAAUACCUUGCUGUUUUGACGUUACCGACAGAAUAAGCACCGGCUAACUCUAUGCCAGCAGCCGCCGUAAGAC
rnacentral:rRNA from 1 species